rnacentral:rRNA from 2 species
UGACCUCAAAUCAGGUAGGACUACCCGCUGAACUUAAGCAUAUCAAUAAGCGGAGGAAAAGAAACUAACAAGGAUUCCCCUAGUAACUGCGAGUGAAGUGGGAAAAGCUCAAAUUUAAAAUCUGGCAGUCUCUGGCUGUCCGAGUUGUAAUCUAGAGAAGUGUUAUCCGCGCUGGACCGUGUACAAGUCUCCUGGAAUGGAGCGUCAUAGAGGGUGAGAAUCCCGUCUUUGACACGGACUGCCAGGGCUUUGUGAUGCGCUCUCAAAGAGUCGAGUUGUUUGGGAAUGCAGCUCAAAAUGGGUGGUAAAUUCCAUCUAAAGCUAAAUAUUGGCGAGAGACCGAUAGCGAACAAGUACCGUGAGGGAAAGAUGAAAAGAACUUUGGAAAGAGAGUUAAACAGUACGUGAAAUUGCUGAAAGGGAAACGCUUGAAGUCAGUCGCGUUGGUCAGGGAUCAACCUUGCUUUUGCUAGGUGUACUUUCUGGUUGACGGGUCAGCAUCAAUUUUGAUCAUUGGAAAAAGAUUAGGGGAAUGUGGCAUCCUUGGAUGUGUUAUAGCCCUUGGUUGUAUACAAUGGUUGGGAUUGAGGAGCUCAGCACGCCGCAAGGCCGGGUU